UGGGGAAUAUUGCACAAUGGGCGAAAGCCUGAUGCAGCGACGCCGCGUGAGUGAUGACGGCCUUCGGGUUGUAAACCUCUUUCAGCAGGGACGAAGCGCAAGUGACGGUACCUGCAGAAGAAGCACCGGCUAACUACGUGCCAGCAGCCGCGGUAAUACGUAGGGUGCAAGCGUUGUCCGGAAUUACUGGGCGUAAAGAGUUCGUAGGCGGUUUGUCGCGUCGUUUGUGAAAACCAGCAGCACAACUGCUGGCUUGCAGGCGAUACGGGCAGACUUGAGUACUGCAGGGGAGACUGGAAUUCCUGGUGUAGCGGUGAAAUGCGCAGAUAUCAGGAGGAACACCGGUGGCGAAGGCGGGUCUCUGGGCAGUAACUGACGCUGAGGAACGAAAGCGUGGGUAGCGAACAGG
rnacentral:rRNA from 1 species